rnacentral:rRNA from 1 species
UACGGAGGGUGCAAGCGUUAUCCGGAUUCACUGGGUUUAAAGGGUGCGUAGGUGGGCUAGUAAGUCCGUGGUGAAAUCUCCAAGCUUAACUUGGAAACUGCCGUGGAUACUAUUAGUCUUGAAUACUGUGGAGGUCAGCGGAAUAUGUCAUGUAACGGUGAAAUGCUUAGAUAUGACAUAGAACACCAAUUGCGAAGGCAGCUGGCUACACAAAUAUUGACACUGAGGCACGAAAGCGUGGGGAUCAAACAGG